ACGAGCCUACGGGGGGCAGCAGUGAGGAAUAUUGGUCAAUGGGCGGAAGCCUGAACCAGCCAAGUCGCGUGAGGGAUUAAGGCCCUAUGGGUCGUAAACCUCUUUUGUCAGGGAGCAAUGGCGUCCACGUGUGGGCGUAUGGAGAGUACCUGAAGAAAAAGCAUCGGCUAACUCCGUGCCAGCAGCCGCGGUAAUACGUAGGGGGCAAGCGUUAUCCGGAUUUACUGGGUGUAAAGGGAGCGUAGGCGGUUUAGCAAGUCAGAAGUGAAAGCCCGGGGCUCAACUCCGGGACUGCUUUUGAAACU
rnacentral:rRNA from 1 species